rnacentral:rRNA from 1 species
UAGAAAUUUAAUUUUAAAUAUUUAAGUAGUAUUAGUUAAGAUCUUGAAAUUUAAAAAAUUUGGCGGUAUUUUAGUCUAUUCAGAGGAACCUGUUUUUUUAUCGAUAGUCCACGAUGUAUCUUACUUAAAUUUGUUUUAAUAGUUUAUAUAUCGUCGUUUAUGGAAUAUUUUUUAAAAAUAAUAAUUUUCUUAAUUUUUUGUAUAAAAGUAUAUCAGAUCAAUAUGUAGCUUAUGUUUGAGUUUAUAAUGGGUUACAAUUUUUUUAUUAAUGGAUAUAAGUUUGUAAAUUUAUUUAUUGAAAUUGGAUUUGAUAGUAAAUUUAUAUAGAUUAAUAAUUUGAUUAUAGCUCUAAAAUAUG